rnacentral:rRNA from 1 species
GUGGAUUAGAUACCCUGGUAGUCCACGCCGUAAACGGUGAGUGCUAGACGUCGCGGGUAUUGACCCCCGCGGUGUCGAAGCUAACGCGUUAAGCACUCCGCCUGGGGAGUACGGCCGCAAGGCUAAAACUCAAAGGAAUUGACGGGGGCCCGCACAAGCGGUGGAGCAUGUGGUUCAAUUCGAAGCAACGCGAAGAACCUUACCUGGGCUUGACAUGUUUGAGAACCCUCUCGAAAGAGAGGGGUGCCCGCAAGGGAGCUCUUUCACAGGUGCUGCACGGCUGUCGUCAACU